rnacentral:piRNA from 1 species
UGAGGCCUAGCAAAGGGUGGAGGGUGGGAG